rnacentral:lncRNA from 1 species
GCCGUCCAAGGGUUUCGCUUUGUUCACAAACCUGACCAAUUAUGCGGUAUUCAUCAACUAAUUCUCAUAGUUUAAGCAAACCUAAUUCUCUCGAUUAAGAAAUUAACGAAAAUUAUGCCAUGAUGACUAAGUCCUUCGUUGUCUAAACUCUAAACCAACUUGACUUUAAUUAUCUCAAGUUUCUAGGUCAUCACAUUCUAGACCAAACUCCAGCUCGUGAAC